CCAACGUGGGCAUCCAGCAGCUUCUGUCUGGCACUGUCUGUGUGGCGUGUGGGAGCAUAGACUUUUGGUCUGUGAUGUACAGUCCCGUUCCAUAACGUUGAAGAGCAGGUAUGUCCCCAGCUUUUAGCUGGUGAGGACUGCAUCCAUAUAUUCCUAGACCUUCCCUGUCUGCUGUGACUGGGGAGAUAAACCAUAUAGGGUACAUGU